rnacentral:rRNA from 1 species
GAUGAACGCUGGCGGCGUGCCUAAUACAUGCAAGUCGAGCGAACGGACGAGAAGCUUGCUUCUCUGAUGUUAGCGGCGGACGGGUGAGUAACACGUGGAUAACCUACCUAUAAGACUGGGAUAACUUCGGGAAACCGGAGCUAAUACCGGAUAAUAUUUUGAACCGCAUGGUUCAAAAGUGAACGACGGUCUUGCUGUCACUUAUAGAUGGAUCCGCGCUGCAUUAGCUAGUUGGUAAGGUAACGGCUUACCAAGGCGAAGAUGCGUAACCGACCGGAGAGGGAGAGCAGCGACACUGGAAGUGAGACGCGGUACAGACUACGAAGGGAGGAAGCAGUGGGGAAUAUGGGACAAUGGGCGAAAGACUGAUCCAGACAUGCAGAGUGUGUGAAGAAGGUCUUAGGAUUGUAAAGCACUUUAAGUGGGGAGGAAGGGCAGUAAGGUAAUACCUUGCGGGUUUGACGGUACAAACAGAAUAAGAACCGGCUAACUUCGUG